CCGAGUUGAUUCGAGCUCCGGGCUCGACUCUCCCACCCUUUGUGUACCUUACCUCUGUUGCUUUGGCGGGCCGCAGUCGGCUCCGGCUGGCUAGCACCCGCCAGAGGACUACAAAACUCCAGUCAGUAAACGUAUCAGUCUGAAAAACAAGUUAAUAAACUA
rnacentral:misc_RNA from 1 species